AUUGAACGCUGGCGGCAUGCCUUACACAUGCAAGUCGAACGGCAGCGGGCCCUUCGGGGUGCCGGCGAGUGGCGAACGGGUGAGUAAUGCAUCGGAACGUACCCGGGAGAGGGGGAUAACCGGCCGAAAGGCUGGCUAAUACCGCAUGAACUCGGAAGAGCAAAGCGGGGGACCUUCGGGCCUCGCGCUCUCGGAGCGGCCGAUGUCCGAUUAGGCUAGUUGGUGGGGUAAAGGCCCACCAAGGCGACGAUCGGUAGCGGGUCUGAGAGGACGAUCCGCCACACUGGGACUGGGACACGGCCCAGACCCCUACGGGAGGCAGCAGUGGGGAAUCUUGGACAAUGGGCGCAAGCCUGAUCCAGCAAUGCCGCGUGGGUGAAGAAGGCCUUCGGGUUGUAAAGCCCUUUCGGCGGGGAAGAAAUCGGUCAGGCGAAUAGUCUGGCCGGAUGACGGUACCCGCAGAAGAAGCACCGGCUAACUACGU
rnacentral:rRNA from 1 species